rnacentral:rRNA from 1 species
AUGGCCGUCGUCAGUUCGUACUGUGAAGCAUCCUGUUAAGUCAGGCAACGAGCGAGACCCACGCCAACAGUUGCCAGCAUGUCCUCCGGGAUGAUGGGGACACUGUUGGGACCGCCUCUGCUAAAGAGGAGGAAGGAAUGGGCAACGGUAGGUCAGCAUGCCCCGAAUUAUCCGGGCUACACGCGGGCUACAAUGGUCAGGACAAUGGGUAUCGACACCGAGAGGUGGAGGCAAUCUCCUAAACCUGUCCUUAGUUCGGAUUGUGGGCUGCAACUCGCCCACAUGAAGCUGGAAUCCGUAGUAAUCGCGUUUCAAAAUAGCGCGGUGAAUAUGUCCCUGCUCCUU